GAAGGAAGAGCGGGCUGUACGCGCUCGCUCCGCCUGACGGGGUCGGUAGCAAGAAAAUGGGAGGUUCUGGCGAGCGUGAGGGUUUUGUGCCUCAGUUCUGCUGAUCCGGUGCCUGGUUAGCAGGCAGGUGCAAGCCUGGAUCCUGGCACAGUUCUCUCCCUUACUUCUGGAGGGGCAUUGCUUCUUGUGCCUUGGAAUGUGACGCUAUCAGCGUGAGAAGCUGCUUCAGUGCAAUCUGAGGAGCCAUGGAUCUACAGUAAAUAAAAACUGGCCUCAGGUGGUCUUGGACACUUUCUGAAGAAUGAAAGAUCGGUGUGCCACUUUUCCUCAUCUCUUAUCAUGGAGCUCCCUGUGUAUGAGACACCUUAACACACUGCCUAUAUAGCAGUCUUUAAGCCAAGGGAAUGGGACCUUUCAGAAUGGCACCUUGCUUAACUGAGUGGUUGUGCUGACUGAAUUUUUCCAUUGCUGAAGAAUCCAUCAGAGCCUCUGGUCAUUUCUGAUCCAGCUUACACAGACCUUCCAUGUUUGUUCCCUCCCUCGGGUUCAAGGCAGCAAGACUCGCGAUCCUGCUCACAGAAUGUGCCUGUUAUGCAGUCAGUCAUGGAGGCACCCGGACAGAUGAGGUUCAAGUUGGUCUGCAUUGAUUUGAACGUACGGUAGCUUUGGAACUGCUCUAUUACCUGGAAGACCUCUGAAUUCUGGUUAAGCUCACUUUGAUCCUGGUCAUAUUGGCUGCUUAAAGUGUACUUACACGCAGCUUGAGCCUGUCUGGAUGCCGUUCUUCCUCUUCAUUCAUUUCUCUUUUCUGCCCUGAUUUGUAUCCCUGCCCUCCAGCAUAACAUUAUUUAGAAGCCUCUUGUCCUCCUGCACAGGUAGGCAACUGCCCAGGCAACUUUGAAAACAUGUUGUUGCAAUUUUUACAAAUUGUAGAAGAAAAUGACACAAUCUUAAAAGCCAUUGCUCAGUUCCCUGCAGUAACGUUUCGUAUUUUCCCCCGCUUACUACCACGAGGAGUUCGGCCCGGGCUGAUGCCCCAUUCCCAUGUGGCCGAGCCCUGCCUGCUUGCUCAGCAGAGCAAAGUGCCCAGCUCAGGACCUGCCCAGGGCCGAGCACUUCUCGCAGCCCGGAAGGUGCACGCCUGAGCUGCUCCCUGAAGUUCUGGCUAUCCGUACGCUGCCCUUCUGGCUGACAGGAUGAGCUCUUUUGUUGUUUUGACGUAACAACUUGGACGAUCAUAGUUCUGUGUGUCAGUGCUUGCUAUUUUUUUUUUUUCUUAAACACCAACUCAGUGAACAGAUAUUUACAAUCUGCAGCUGCUGAGUGAUGCUGCAUGGCUUUUUAAUCUCUAGAGGCCAGAUGGAAGUGUGCUCCUUCAUCAUUACUUGUUUUGCAUAAUGUGGGAAUUAGAACUACAUUUGGGUAAGCAGAUAGACAUUUGAUGUAUAUUUUUCUCUUUCGUGCAUAUACUUUCUUCUCUCUCUCUUUUUUUUUUUAGAUGGCAGUUUUCUGUAGGGAAAGUGAGUUGUAUGCCCGAAACAGGAAAGAUGUUGAUCCAGGAGAUUUAGAGAGAAAGGGAUGCUUCUUCUGGUAGGUUUCUGAGAGCUGGGGACUUAGCACAGUUUCUGAAAGAGCUGCUAGCGGGCUGAUCUUGAAUGCUGUGGGGGUUUGUGUCAUUGUCUUUGUUUCAAGCUCUUCUGGAAUCCUCACUUUGACUUUUAGUUGCAUUUGUGGAUGUAUUGAGACUGCAAUCAAUUGAUUGAAAUCCAUAAAUAAUAGGACAAUUUUCAAUUUGAGAUGCAGUAACAGGAUGCUAUUGGGAGAAGGUUUAUGUACGUGAGAAGCUUUUUAUAGCUCACUCCCCCCUCGAGUCCAAUCCUGGCCAGCCCCUGGCAAUGGGAAGGCCCUGGCCUUACCGCCAGCUUGUUGGAGGCCAAUCCCACGCUGCACAGCAGCAGGGAUGUUCACACAGCCGUCUGUGGCAGUGCAGCACCGCGAGGCCUGCUGUGGUGCUCGGCUGAGCUUUGGGGGUCACAGGCGAUGUGGCAUUAAAGUAACUAUGAGAAACAGAAAAAGCAAGACAGACUAACAUGAAAAAACACAUUUUAUUGCACUUAAGUUAUAAGAAAAUAAAAUUUCUAAGUGAAUCAAACCAUAGACACAGUCCCUUUAAACGCUGUUUUCCUCCAUCACGUCAGGUUGUUACAUAACUAAAAUUAACCAACUGGAAUCUGAUUGUUUUAAAUCAGACUAUAAAUAAAACAAAAAACAAAACAAAACAAAAAAAAAAAAGGAGGAAAAAAGAUCGCCUAGGAUACAGUGUUAAACCACUUUCACAGUUCAGCUUGAGUUGUGGCUCUUGGAGAAUGAGGCAAACUGUUUGACUCUUUCAUUUCUCAUCGUGUUUGCAUGUGACAUCUUUACAAAAACGUAAGUUUUUGCUCUGUCAGUUCCUCCCAGCAAUAACUGUAACAGUUGUUUUUUUUUUCUCAAAUACUGUAAAACACUACGACUGACCAGCAACUUUAUUUUCAUUUUUGUGUUUUAUAAUCUUUUUUAAAAAUUUUGUCAGUUUUUUUAAAUUUUUUUUUGUGUUCAUUCCAUUCACCACAGCCCUCACAAAGAAAAAAUUUCCCCACAGAACAGGCUGCAAUAGCUUUGUUCUAAGGAAUGUGUUUUAAUUUUUGCCCAGAAAAAAAGAAAAUAAGCUUUGCACACACACUCAAUUCUUUAUUUGCAGGCAAACUUCACUCUUUAAUUGUCUGAAACUCUUCCACUCUCAGCCUCUUAGAGGCACAGUUGGCUCAAGUUUCAGUGGCAAAAAGUCUUUUUCUGUAACCAAACUAGAGCAAAUUUGGAAUUCAGUCUGGGACUAAAACGUCACAGCAGAAAAAAAAAAAUAAAAAAAAAUAAUUUGCUUUUUCUUUCUUUCAUUUAGCAGCAUAAAUAAGUUUGGCCACUGGGAAUACAGUACAGGGGUGGGAAAACAAUCCCGUAAUUGAAGACCUACUUCUAGCACCAGCGUUGCGAAUUAAAUCCGUCAGAGGACUCUCAGAACCCAGGACAACUUUGCCACCUCAGAGCAACUUAGGCGUUGAAGAGUGUAGAUGGAAGCAACGGUAAGUAGAUUAAACAGAGGCUAAUACUGUGAUUGACGUUGGCAAUGGUUGGCAAAAAAAAAGGAAGAAAAGAAAAAAAAAGAAAAAGAAAAAGCUCUGAUAAAACUGCACAAA